rnacentral:tRNA from 1 species
AGUGGUUAAGCAUUUGGCUACUAACCAAAAGGUUGUCGGUUCAAAUCCACCAACCACUC